rnacentral:rRNA from 1 species
UACGUAGGUGGCAAGCGUUGUCCGGAUUUAUUGGGUUUAAAGGGUGCGUAGGCGGUCUAUUAAGUCAGCGGUGAAAUACUCCAGCUUAACUGGAGGGGUGCCAUUGAUACUGAUGGACUUGAGUCAAGUCGAGGUAGGCGGAAUUGACGGUGUAGCGGUGAAAUGCUUAGAUAUCGUCAAGAACACCAAUAGUGAAGACAGCUCACUGGGCUUAAACUGACGCUGAGGCACGAAAGUGUGGGGAUCAAACAGG